GUUUGAUCCUGGCUCAGAUUGAACGCUGGCGGCAUGCCUUACACAUGCAAGUCGAACGGUAACAGGUUAAGCUGACGAGUGGCGAACGGGUGAGUAAUGUAUCGGAACGUGCCCAGUCGUGGGGGAUAACUGCUCGAAAGAGCAGCUAAUACCGCAUACGACCUGAGGGUGAAAGCGGGGGAUCGCAAGACCUCGCGCGAUUGGAGCGGCCGAUAUCAGAUUAGGUAGUUGGUGAGGUAAAGGCUCACCAAGCCGACGAUCUGUAGCUGGUCUGAGAGGACGACCAGCCACACUGGGACUGAGACACGGCCCAGACUCCUACGGGAGGCAGCAGUGGGGAAUUUUGGACAAUGGGCGCAAGCCUGAUCCAGCCAUGCCGCGUGCGGGAAGAAGGCCUUCGGGUUGUAAACCGCUUUUGUCAGGGAAGAAAAGGUUCUGGCUAAUACCUGGGACUCAUGACGGUACCUGAAGAAUAAGCACCGGCUAACUACGUGCCAGCAGCCGCGGUAAUACGUAGGGUGCAAGCGUUAAUCGGAAUUACUGGGCGUAAAGCGUGCGCAGGCGGUUAUGCAAGACAGAGGUGAAAUCCCCGGGCUCAACCUGGGAACUGCCUUUGUGACUGCAUGGCUAGAGUACGGUAGAGGGGGAUGGAAUUCCGCGUGUAGCAGUGAAAUGCGUAGAUAUGCGGAGGAACACCGAUGGCGAAGGCAAUCCCCUGGACCUGUACUGACGCUCAUGCACGAAAGCGUGGGGAGCAAACAGGAUUAGAUACCCUGGUAGUCCACGCCCUAAACGAUGUCAACUGGUUGUUGGGAGGGUUUCUUCUCAGUAACGUAGCUAACGCGUGAAGUUGACCGCCUGGGGAGUACGGCCGCAAGGUUGAACUCAAAGGAAUUGACGGGGACCCGCACAAGCGGUGGAUGAUGUGGUUUAAUUCGAUGCAACGCGAAAACCUUACCUACCCUUGACAUGUCUGGAUCCUGAGAGAUUCGGGAGUGCUCGAAAGAGAGCCAGACACAGGUGCUGCAUGGCGUCGUCAGCUCGUGUCGUGAGAUGUUGGGUUAAGUCCCGCACGAGCGCACCCUUGUCAUAGUGCUACGAAAGGGCACCUCUAAUGAAACUGCCGGUGACAACCCGGAGG
rnacentral:rRNA from 1 species